GAUGAACGCUAGCGGCAGGCCUAACACAUGCAAGUCGAGGGGGAUGUUACUUUCGGGUAACUGAGACCGGCGUACGGGUGCGUAACGCGUAUACAAUCUGCCUUUCACCGGGGGAUAGCCCGAAGAAAUUUGGAUUAAUACCCCAUAGUAUAGUAAUACGGCAUCGUGAUGCUAUUAAAGCUUAGGUGGUGAAAGAUGAGUAUGCGUUCUAUUAGCUAGUUGGAGAGGUAACGGCUCCCCAAGGCGAUGAUAGAUAGGGGUUCUGAGAGGGAUGUCCCCCACACUGGUACUGAGAUACGGACCAGACUCCUACGGGAGGCAGCAGUGAGGAAUAUUGGACAAUGGUCGGAAGACUGAUCCAGCCAUGCCGCGUGCAGGAUGAAGGUCUUAUGGAUUGUAAACUGCUUUUGUAAGGGAAGAAUAAGGGCUACGCGUAGUUUGAUGACGGUACCUUACGAAUAAGCAUCGGCUAACUCCGUG
rnacentral:rRNA from 1 species